GUCGUUUCCUUUUCCGUCACCUCCCUUCUUUCCCCUUUUUUGAAAUCCCUCCAAACAAAUAUGUAUAUCCCUCUCUUGCCCGACAUUUCCAUCAGCCAUUUGGAUUAACAAUUCAUUUGUAGUUUUACCAUCAAAGCACCCCGCGCGAAAUAGCUGCUUCGUUGAUUGCGGCUCUGUUCUUCAUCGGAGCUCGAGUUGCUUGAGAAGCUUUCGACGAACCAAAACGGAAGCCUCGUUAUACAUCGAUUCUUACAUUCUCUGAUAAGUUGAGGGAUUAGAUUUCAAGCAUUGAGCAAAGAAAUUGAUGAGUUACCUAGUUCCGAAUUUGCCAGACGAAUGUACAGGUUGAGACCAUCAUUUGAGAACCUUUGUAUGUCAAUCAGAUUUUCACUCCACAUCAUACAGCCAAUGCCAGCAUCAUAGGCGUAUGCUAAGCAGGAACAGUUGUUCAAGCACUGGAUUCUGCAAUCUGGUAAUGCUGAUACAGUGAAAGUCCCAUUUAGUAGGUCUGGAACCUUGGUAUUCUCCAAUUGCACAAACCCAUCUUCAUCAUCAUCAUAUCCAUUCCUGGUUUCAUUUUUUACUCUCUCACAUUUCAAUGGUUUCCUCCUUAUGCACCCAUUAGUCCAGUUUCCUUCAUUCCAUUCUUCUGCAUUUCUUGGCAAAAAACCUCUCAAACAGCUACAAAUUGGCUUUCUUAGUGGAUCACAACUGCCAAACGAUCCACAAAUGCCAUAAAUGUCACAGUCUGAUUGCUGCACUGUCCAUUGAGGCACCCACUGUUUCUUAUUGUCAUCCCAACUAUUAAAUACCAAUUUCCCUUCAAAGUUCAACUUAUAGAAUGAUAAUGGUAACUGGUGUAUAUAUACAAAAUAUACAUAGAAUGUACCAUUUACAUUUUGUGAAGUGAAUCCAUAAUUGAGAUACUGAUUGUCCAAAUUGGGUAUACCAAUGAAGAUUCGACCGUCCCACGGACCUCCACGCCAAUAUGUGUGACUGUUUUUCCAAAUGAAUGGUUGAGGAAUUAUAGUAGGUUGAAUAGAAGCAGCAAAGCUUCCCAUGGAUGGAUCAAAAGGGCUCUUCCAUGAUGUCAACAUGAAUUUCUGACCUUCUUGUGCAUUAGAACCAUCAUUAUUGUGUAGCAGUGUUGUGUCAGAAAGAUGGUCGAAGCUUUGCCAUAUAACUUUUCCUGUGAUGUUGUUCAGCAGCACAAGAUUUCCAGAAUCCUGCAGCUGCAAAGUGACAUGGGACGUGUCAUUAUCUGAUCCAUCUGAUGACCAAACAACAUGUUCCUUUCCAUCUUGGAUCACCAGAUUGCCAUUUUCAGAUAUCUUGAGAAUCCCAGAAGAAUCUGUGAGUGGUUCGUUUCUGUUAGCCACCCAUACCACACUGGUUUUUAACAUGUACCAAAUUCCUAGGUAACGAUUGGAUGAAUUCUUGGGGCUGAAAAAUCCAAGUGUGAAAUUGGUGCUAUUAGAGAUAAGAGUAUCAGGAUCUUUCAUGCUCUCAGAUGCUGUAAGAAUAUCUAAGCCAGAGGCUAAAGACGAAAAAUAGUAAGCACACAGGAGGAAAAUUCCUAAAAAUUCUUUAUAAACUCUGAUACCCAUUGGAUUAGUAAUUCUCCACCCAAAAAGAGAUGGGCCUUUUGUCUUCUGUUUCUACCCUUUUAACAAUCUUUCUUUAUGGGUUUUUGCCUUUUAAAUGGGUUCAUGAAGCAUAAAUUUUUCAAUCGACGGUUCAUA